UACAAUUAAUCCAAGGCCUGACAAAUCCCCAAACAGCGGCAAUUCAACUAUUGGGUUAGGGUUCGCUCUUUUCUUGCAAUUGGUCGUCACGCUUUUGGAGGAUCCGCUAAAUCGAACCCUAGCCCUAGAAUUCAACCAUGUCUUCCAAGCAAGGUGGAAAAGCAAAGCCUUUGAAGCAGCCAAAGGCUGAAAAGAAAGAAUAGGGCGAGGAAGACAAGGCUUAUCUGCAAAAGAAGAAAGAGGAGGAAAAGGCACUGAAGGAGCUCAAGGCAAAGGCGCAAAAAGGAGCUUUGGGAGGUUCUGGGCUCAAAAAAAGUAGUGGGAAGAAGUGAGGAUUUAGAAACCUAAUGCUAAACCUAAGCAUCCUUGUGUUAGAUUAGUUUAUCAUCAAGCAUUUGUUCUAUGGCUGGGAAUGAUUGUUAUUUUUUUAUGCCAACUUUCUUCCAUGUAAAAUUCAGUGAAAUGUGCGAGACAUUUGCACCCUUCGGAAUACAUAAGCCAUGUUAGAAUUUGCUUCUGUUUCCUUUAACAUGGCUUUAAUGUUUAAUUUUAUGUUGUUUCUGGUUUUA